UUCGUACAAUGACUUUAUACACUAAAAUCGUUCCACUCUGCAACAGUUUUUGACUCGGUCCCCGCCUUUAAUCAAGACUCUAUGGUUAUCUAAAUAAACUGAUUUUAUGGCUUCCCCUAUGUAUCAAAUCCUCUCUUCCUUCUUUUUCUGAUUCUCACGCUGUUUUCAGUUUAAAUUUUUGCUCCCCCUUCUCUCAACCAUCUCUCCUUAUCUCUAAGCCUAAUUAGCUGCCAGGCACACCAGCUCCACCAUCUCACACCAUACCAGGAGCACACACCUCGAACAAGUCAAGACCAUCAUACCAUCGCUAUUAGACCCACUUGAAACUCAACCCCCCUCUUUCUCUGGCGUUCUCUCUCUCUCUCUCUCUCUCUCUCUCUCUCUCUCUAUAUAUAUAUAUAUAUAUAUAUAUAUAUAUAUAUAUAUAUUUGAAUACUGAUGAUUGAAGGUUUCCAACGAUUUGAAGUCAAAUAGGUGGAGAUCCGAUUGAUUUUGAUUGUUUGGAAACUAGGGCUUGGUUCACUAAUUACCAGCAGUUCUAGAAGUGAAUAUGGUUCCAUUGUAGGGUUUCUAACAAGGUCCCAUUUGUAGCUUACAAAGCUUGGCAUUGGAGCUAUUCAUUGUGCGAUACUACAUUUUAGCUGUUAAAUCUUCUCUGGGACAGAAGAAAAACAAAAAGACUAGAAGAACAAACCUACAACUCGAUACACCCCUCUAUCUCAAUUAGAUAUGACUAUUUCAUGUGAAUGUGGGACCCAUGUGUUCAAACAUACUCAACAUGAAGAUUUCAAGGUUUCAAGUGUGGGAUCUUCUCUUCCUCCACUGGAUUCUUGAUGAUAUUAAUGUUAAAGCAAUAGGGGGGAAAGAUACAUAUAGAGUGUAAGUUUUGAAAAUUUUUGAUUCAAUAAUAAUGCUUCUUUUGACAUUUUGGGGCUAUUAACUGUUCAGUUUUAUGUAGAUUAUUAGGUAGAACAAAAGAGAUAGAUAUGCAAAAGAUGUUGAUUAUGAGUAAUGAAAGAGAGUAAUAUGUAAAAGAUUUUGGUGCUAUUAACUGUUCAAUUUUAUAUACACAUACACUGUUUAGUUAGGGACUGGACAUGACGUAAGGGGUAUUCAUAUGUUUUAUAGCAGCUUUCAACUAUAGACCCAACAAUAAACCCACAAAGAUGUAGGGUUAAAGUGGUUCAAACUCCAAACCAAACAUGCCAAAAGAAUUAGGCAGUAGUAGCAAGGAGAUAAAUGCUUGAAUAAUGUAUAUACAUCAUCCAUAAUGCAACUAAAACCAAACCAUUAAGGGUAGAAUGGUCAAAACAAGCAAAAUUCUCCCACCAGCCAAUCUUGAAUAAAAAAGCACCAUGUCAUGUAUAAACAUAAGAAAUCUAGAUGAAUGCACCAAACAUCGCCACCUGAAAAAGCCAUGCAAGGGUAAAAUGUCAUAGUAUUGGAAAAAGCUUCAGCCAAAUCAACUCCACAUCAGGAACAAUCAAAUAUAGGUAAUCUGGUCUAAGAGUCCAAAAUCAAUUAUAUAAGCCAAUAGUUGUAUUUACUCUUCUGUUGAAUUUUGCAUAACCAUAUUUAUGAAUAUUGUAUAAAUGCAGUUAAUUCCCCACAUUUACUCAUUUUUUGCAUUUACUCUUCUGUUAUGUUCUUUAAUCUUACAGCUGAAGUGGUAGCAUGUUGCAUAUGGGCUUGAUCUGUUAUCAAAGAAGUUACUAUAUAGGAAACAAAAUAGACAUACAGCCAUAGUCAUAAGUAUACUUUUGUUAUGAUCCUUAUUACUUUUAUAUUUUACAUUGUUGUACACGUUUCAAAUCUUUAAUAUGUUUUUUUGUUUUCCGUUGUUUCAUCAAACUAUUUGGCCUUGGGUUACUACAUGUAUCUUGAAUCCUCAUAGUCAGGAGUCAAAUUCAUUCUAAUAUUUACGUA